GAUGAACGCUAGCGGCAGGCUUAAUACAUGCAAGUCGAGGGGUAGCAAGAUUGUAGCAAUACAAUUGUUGGCGACCGGCAAACGGGUGCGGAACACGUACACAACCUUCCUACAAGUGGGGAAUAGCCCAGAGAAAUUUGGAUUAAUACCCCGUAACAUAGCGAUGUGGCAUCACAUUGCUAUUAUAGCUUCGGCGCUUGUUGUUGGGUUUGCGGCUGAUUAGAUAGUUGGCGGGGUAACGGCCCACCAAGGCUACGAUCAGUAGCUGAUGUGAGAGCAUGAUCAGCCACACGGGAUCUGAGACACGGGCCCGACUCCUACGGAGGGCAGCAGUAAGGAAUAUUGGACAAUGGACGCAAGUCUGAUCCAGCCAUGCCGCGUGAAGGAUGAAGGUCCUCUGGAUUGUAAACUUCUUUUAUAAGGGACGAAAAAAGGUCUUUCUAGAUCGUCCGACGGUACCUUAUGAAUAAGCACCGGCUAACUCCGUGCCAGCAGCCGCCGUAAGAC
rnacentral:rRNA from 1 species